UAUGAAAGAAACCAUAGCUCCUGGCUCUAUGUUCCUGCUGAGUUUGAAAGUCAGUGGAAUGUGGGAGUCCUUCCUCUUCUCAAAGUAAAUUUCCCCUCACCUGGCAAAGGAUGGACAAAACUGACAGCUCCACCACUGCCCUGAUACCUGAGACAUGUCCAGCCUGCAUACUGAUGUACCAGCCUGCCCUUGGUUUUUCCUCCACUCCCUGUCCUGUCCAGCAACUCCAGGUACCACAUAUUUACAAGAAUGAUCCACUUUGUGAUGUAACAGAGAAUUACCAUAGUAGGAAUGUUCAUUGAAUAUUUUAUUAUGGCUUGGCAACUUUGAUUGAAAAGGCUGAUAAACCUUGAAAACUGUGGGUGAGUAUACAAACUGACAAUUUUUGAUGUCUUAAAUUUUCUCAAAGUACUCAUUUUCUGUCAGCCACAUUGCCACAAAAAUCUAUUUUACUUACAAACACAGAAUUAAAAACCCCCUAUAUGUUAGGUGAUGAAGUCCAAAAUUAGUCUUAUUUUUCUAAAGGUGGCCAACCAGUACCUAGUGACAUUUCAAGUCUAGAAUCAUUCUUUCAUAAGAACCAUGCUCAGCA